rnacentral:rRNA from 1 species
AGAGUUUGAUCCUGGCUCAGGAUGAACGCUAGCGGCAGGCUUAACACAUGCAAGUCGAGGGGUAUCACGCUUUCGGGCGUGAGAGACCGGCGCACGGGUGCGUAACGCGUAUGCAACCUACCUUUUACUGGGGGAUAGCUCCGAGAAAUCGGGAUUAAUACCUCAUAAUAAGUUUUACUGGCAUCGGUAGAACUUUAAAGCUCCGGCGGUAAGAGAUGGGCAUGCGUGCCAUUAGCUAGUUGGUGAGGUAACGGCUCACCAAGGCAACGAUGGCUAGGGGUUCUGAGAGGAUUAUCCCCCACACUGGUACUGAGACACGGACCAGACUCCUACGGGAGGCAGCAGUAAGGAAUAUUGGUCAAUGGACGCAAGUCUGAACCAGCCAUGCCGCGUGCAGGAUGACGGCCUUUAUGGUUGUAAACUGCUUUUUGUCAGGGAAUAACCCUUGUUUGCGAACAAGGCUGAAGGUACCUGAAGAAUAAGCAUCGGCUAACUCCGUGCC